rnacentral:rRNA from 1 species
CGCGGCCUAUCAGCUUGUUGGUGGGGUGAUGGCCUACCAAGGCGACGACGGGUAGCCGGCCUGAGAGGGCGACCGGCCACACUGGGACUGAGACACGGACCAGACUCCUACGGGAGGCAGCAGUGGGGAAUAUUGCGCAAUGGGCGGAAGCCUGACGCAGCGACGCCGCGUGGGGGAUGACGGCCUUCGGGUUGUAAACCUCUUUCGACCGGGACGAAGGGUGACUGACGGUACCGGUAGAAGAAGCACCGGCCAACUACGUGCCAGCAGCCGCGGUAAUACGUAGGGUGCGAGCGUUGUCCGGAAUUAUUGGGCGUAAAGAGCUCGUAGGCGGUGUGUCGCGUCGGUCGUGAAAACUUGGGGCUCAACCCCGAGCUUGCGGUCGAUACGGGCAUCACUGGAGUUCGGCAGGGGAGACUGGAAUUCCUGGUGUAGCGGUGAAAUGCGCAGAUAUCAGGAGGAACACCGGUGGCGAAGGCGGGUCUCUGGGCCGAUACUGACGCUGAGGAGCGAAAGCGUGGGGAGCGAACAGGAUUAGAUACCCUGGGAGUUCCCGCCGUAACGGUGGGCGCUAUUAUUGGGGGCCAUUUCCGGUCUCUCGUGCCGCAGGUAAAGCAUUACUGCCUCGCCU